rnacentral:rRNA from 1 species
UACGUAGGGGGCAAGCGUUGUCCGGAUUUAUUGGGCGUAAAGAGCUCGUAGGCGGUUCGACAAGUCGGAUGUGAAAUCUCCACGCUCAACGUGGAGGGGCCAUUCGAAACUGUCGUGACUUGAGUCCGGUAGGGGAGUGUGGAAUUCCCGGUGUAGCGGUGAAAUGCGCAGAUAUCAGGAAGAACACCCGUGGCGAAGGCGGCUCUCUGGGACGGUACUGACGCUGAGACGCGAAAGCGUGGGGAGCAAACAGG